rnacentral:rRNA from 1 species
UACGAAGGUGGCUAGCGUUGUUCGGAUUUACUGGGCGUAAAGCGUACGUAGGCGGUUUUAUAAGUCAGAGGUGAAAGCCUGGAGCUCAACUCCAGAACUGCCUUUGAAACUAUAAAACUUGAACGCGAGAGAGGAUGAUGGAAUUUCCAGUGUAGCGGUGAAAUGCGUAGAUAUUGGAAGGAACACCAGUGGCGAAAGCGGUCAUCUGGCUCGUUGUUGACGCUGAGGUACGAAAGCGUGGGGAGCAAACAGG